AGGUUAUGCGUGAUGGGCAGUGUAAUGGCUGUGGUUUGCCUUCUCCCUUCUGCCCUGUUGCUCUCUUGUUCGUGGCCCUCUCAGAUCGACACAUCUGCUUGCAUUUAAAACUAAAGAUGAUACGUGGAGAGGAAGGGGGGGAGACUUAUAGUGUUGUGCUAUUUUGCUAUCCUUAGAGGUUUUCGUUUAGGGGGUUGUAGUAUCAGUUCGUAGGUUUUAACGUGGCUUGGAUCUGGUGUGUGUUGUCAAGCCUGUGUUACCCUAAUUACUUUAUUAUUGUGUGUCUCUG